AUACGGAGGAUGCAAGCGUUGUCCGGAUUUAUUGGGCGUAAAGGGUGCGUAGGCGGCCUUGUAAGUCAGAUGUGAAAGAUCAUGGCUUAACUGUGGUAAGCAUUUGAAACUGCAGGGCUUGAGUACAGGAGAGGAGAGUGGAAUUCCUAGUGUAGCGGUGAAAUGCGUAGAUAUUAGGAGGAAUACCAGUGGCGAAGGCGACUCUCUGGACUGAUACUGACGCUGAGGCACGAAAGCGUGGGGAGCAAACAGGAUUAGAUACCCUGGUAGUCCACGCUAUAAACGAUGAGUGCUAGGUGUCGGGGGUCAAACCUCGGUGCCGCAGUUAACACAUUAAGCACUCCGCCUGGGGAGUACGGCCGCAAGGCUGAAACUCAAAGGAAUUGACGGGG
rnacentral:rRNA from 1 species